rnacentral:rRNA from 1 species
UUGAGGUUAGGGGUAAUAUGCCAAUCGAAACUGGAGAUAGCUGGUUCUCUCCGAAAUAUAUAUAGGUAUAGCGUCAAGUGUUGAGAUGCGGGGGUAAAGCUACUGGAUGAAUGUUUGUGGAGCAAUCUACGGCAUUUAACCAAACUCUGAAUACCGCAAAUUUAACUUGGCAGUCAGUCGGUCCGGGCUAAGCUGGAUCGGCAAGAGGGGAAGACCCCAGACUCUCAUCUAAGGUCUCUAAAUCUAUGUUAAGUGGAAAAGGGAGUGAUUUUUCUAAGACAGACAGGAGGUUGGCUCAGAAGCAGCCAUCCUUUAAAGAAAGCGUAAUAGCUCACUGUUCGAUCCCGACUUGUCGGGAUUGAAAGAUUGCACCAAAAAUGUAACGAGGCUAAAACAUAGUGCCGAAGAUGGAGACUCCGACUUGUCGGAGUGGUAGGAGAGCGUUCUGAUGACGGCGAAGGUUAAGGCGUAAGCUAAGCUGGAGUUGUCAGAAGUGAGAAUGCAGGCAUGAGUAACGUAAUCCCGGUGAGAACCCGGGACGUCGAAAUAUCCAAGGUUUCCUCAGCUACGUUGUUCGACUGAGGGUUAGGCGAUCCUAACACGAGGCCCUGAUUAAUGGGGGCGUAGUGGAUGGACUACCGGUUAAUAUUCCGGUCCUUACUAAUAUUCGUUUUAAUUUGGGGUAUGACGGUGUAUGGAAGGUUUUGAGUCUAAGUGAUUGGGCUUUUAAGUGUCUAGCUAGAAGGGGUUGGAAAAUCCGCCUUUUCGUUUUAAGGUGAAGCACGAAUAGAAUCCUGAGUUAUCGGGAGACAAGAUUAAAUCCAUGUACACGAGAAAAGUAUCGCAAAUAGAAUAUUGGUGAUCCGUACUAAAACCGACACUGGUGGAUAAGUCGAGAAGACUAAGACGAUUGGAAGAAAGAUGGUUAAGGAAAUCAGCAAAUUAACUGGGCGUAAGCUUUGCGAGAUGCCCUGCCCGGGAUAACACCCGGGUUACAACAAAAGAAUACACGGCGACUGUUUACCAAAAACAUAGGUCCAUGCGAACCUGUAAGGGGAUGUAUAUGGGCCGAAACCUGACCGGUGCUAGAAGGUUAAAUGAGAGAGUGAUGUCCGAUUUAUCGGACUGAGCUUUUGAUUGAAGCCCUAGUGAACGUCAGCAGUAACUCUAACUGUGAAACUUAGAGCAGUUGUAAAAUUUAGCUAUAUGCUGGGAAGACUUGUUAGAAUUUCAUAAUACCGAGGAGGUAAAAAUUUAUGAAUAAAGUUAAUCAGCAGGAAAGACAUUCAGAUAAAAGAAAGUAUCUUUAUCAUUAUUUUGCCGGAUUUGUUGAAGGUGAAGGAUGCUUUUCGGUAUCAAUUAAGCCACACAAACAAAUGAAGUUUGGGUGGGUGGUUGAUCCAAUGUUUUCCAUUUAUCAACACAAGAAAAAUAGAAAUAUUUUAGAAAUAUUUCAAAGAGAAUUGCAUUGUGGUUAUAUUGUUGAAAAACAAGGUAAACCAGGGGUGCUGGUCUUGGUGGUUGAUAACAGAAGGACGUUGGAAGAAAAGAUAAUCCCAUUUUUUGACAAAUACCAAUUUUUAGGAACUAAACGCCAGGAUUUUCUAUUAUUUUCACAAAUUGUGAGAAUGAUGAAAGAAAAAAGGCAUUUAGAAAAAUCGGGUUUGAUUGAAAUUGUCAAUUUGGCAUUUCAAAUGAACCAGCAAGGUAAGGGGAGAAAAUAUUCUGCCCCAGAGAUAAUUUCAAGUUUGAAUGAAUCCUCAGAGACUACACGCUAGAACUUAAUUUCUAAAAAUAAGUUUCUAUUUUAGAAACGCAAUUUUUUAGAUUUUAUUUAAGAUAUAGUCCAAGCUCCGAUGAGAGUCGGAGAGUCAAUAUUUAUCGCUAAGUAUUGGAGUAAUACAGAGUCUAAGGUAGCGAAGUCCUUUGUCGGGUAAGUUCCGACGCGUAUGAAAGGUUUAACGACUGUGUAACUGUCUUAAUCAUCUAUCCAGUGAAAUUGAAAGAGCGGUGAAGAUGCCGUUUAAUUACUACAGGACAAACAGACCCCAUGAAGCUUUACUGGAUCUUUACAUUGACAAGAAUUUAAUGAUUGUUCAGCGUAGGAGGGAUCCUUCGGGAAACAAUGAAACACCUCCCUUUGUUAUUUUUGAGUCUAACCUACUCCGAUGAAUCUCGGAGGGGGACCGUGUAUGGUUGCUAGUUUGCCUGGGGCAGGCACCUGCAAAAGAGUAACGCGGGUAUACAAAGGUCAACUUAGUCCGGCAGGAAAUCGGACUUUAAGUGUAAAAGCAAAAGUUGGCUUGACUGUGAGACUUACAAGUCGAAUCCCGAGCAAUCGGGAGAUCCAAACAAUUCUGAUUUUGGAUUCAGGGUCGAAAGACGGUUUUAGUGAUCCUCGUGACCUAUUUGGUAUAGGCACGGGCUUACUGGAUAAAAGCUACUCUGGGGAUAACAGGCUAGUCGCAUCCGAUAGUUCAUAUUGACGAUGCGGUUCGGCACCUCGAUGUCGACUUGGCGCAUCCUGGCCCUGAAGAAGGGGCCAAGGGUUGGUCUGUUCGCCCAUUAAAGCGCUGCGUUAGUUGGGUUCAGAGCGUCGCGAGACAGCUCGGUCUCUAUCCGUAGUAAUCGUUCGAUUCUUGAAGGGAUUCAUCUACAGUACGAGAGGACCUAGAUGAGGAAACCUCUGGUGUGCCAGUUGUGCUGUCAAGUGCAUCGCUGGGUAGCUACCGUUUCUAUAAGAUAACUGUUGAAAGCAUCUCAAACAGGAAACUGACCCUAAGAUAAGGAAUCGUUUUCCCGAGCAAUCGGGAAGGAAGAUCGCCGGGAGACUACCGGCCAAUACUUUGCAAGUGGAAGACCCGUAAGGGUUUGAGCUAAGCAAUGGAAUGAUCGAAGAAAUUUCUCAA